CAUCCAAUCCACGUUGAGAGUCAGGGAGGAUGUUGCAACUCGAGAUGCUCUUAGAAGAGUGACAUUCUUUCCCUGUCCUCCGUGGAUUCCUUCCCCAGCUCUACCGUCCUGUGGACGUCUUCACCCCAGACCCCAGCUGGCUCAGAGGUUCCUCCAGCUGGAGUUUGGAGAAUGGACUGGAAGGGGCAUGACGGGAGUGAGAGAAGCUGGGAGCAGGUGAGGAGGCACCGUGUGAGCAGUCAUGGUGGCGCUGGCUGGGGACAGAGAGAAGGAGCUGGAUGGGAGGGACAUUGAGGAGUCAGCAUGCUGGCUGUGGGGGUGACGGAGAGGGGGUGUCAAGGGUGACAGCCUGCGUGGCCUCGGCUGGAGAGGUCGGUUCAGUCCAGCAAGCUUUUCUAGCGUGCCUGUGUGCUGUGUAAAGGACCAGUGGUUCUAACUUGAUAAUUCAAGAAGCAGCCUGGUGUGUACAGAGUUCUAACUGAAGGCCAUCUGGAGGGCAGGAGCACCAAAUGCCGUGGGGUGAGAUGGGAGCCGAGGCUGUGGAGGUCAGCAGUGGUCCUGUCUAUGAGGGUCUCAAUGGUCAGGCUAAGGAGGUUAGAUGCUUCUUGAGGGCACUGGAAACUAUGAGAGGAUUUGCAACCAGAUUCUGGCAUGACUAGAGGUCAGAUUAAGGGAGAUGGAUGGUUCUGGUUUCCAUGCUGAGGAUGAGCUGGAAGGGGUAAGCCCAGAGGACUUCCUGAGGAAGCUGCUGCUGGCAUAAAGGGGAGAGAUCGAAUGGGCCUCUCAGGAAAGCAUGGCUCCUCCACUUAGGGCUGUGUGACCUUGAGCGUUACCUAACCUCUCUGUGCCUCUGGAAAAUGGGGAUCAUACUGGUUCCCAUCUCACAGGGCUGUCAGGGGAAUUGGAUGAGGUCACACAGGAAAAGUGCUUGGAACAGGGCCUAAUGCACAACAGCUUGUAUUCAGACGUGGGAAUGGUGACGACCUUUGGCCUCCUGGGACUCAGUUUCCCCACCUGUAAACCCGAAACCCCCACCGUGCCCGCGUCACAGGGUCAUCGGGGAUCAGAUGAUUUGACGCACAUUGUGCGCUGGAACAGAGACUGGCCGGCAUGGCUGUGCAGUUGGCGGGGCCAGUUGCAAAAUGAAAAGGCCAGGCCUCUUGUUCAAAAACAAUUACAGAUCCCAGACGGCAGCCGUGGGGCCGAAACCCAGCGCGGCCCUGCGCCGGCUUGACAGGUUGACACGGGAAGUUCCCGGCCGAGGGAACAGCUUGUACGAGGCUUACAGGGGUCUGGAACAGAUAAUCGGAACCAGGAUUGUCUCUGAGAACCCGCGGCCGCCGUGACCCCAGGACAUUUGCGGGAGGCCUCUGACACGGGGGCCCUGCCUUGCCCCCCAUUUGGGGCGGGGGCCCAGCUGGAACAAAUGGGUCCCUUUCCAGACCAGAGACCCGCACUGGCUUUUCCAGGGACACACAGCCCGUGGGGGCAGGGUCUGAGCGGGCGCCAGCGCUCUGGGCUCUUCUCCGGGGCCCCCUCUCAUCCGCGCGCCCCGCGGGUGACCACGAGUGGAAACAAUUCGAAGAAGUUAACAAAACCCCGAGCUGGCCAGUCCUCUGUGUCCCUCAUCCUUCAGAACGUAUCUAUCGGGGGCGAUUAGAGAGGAAUGGGUCCCUGUGAGCGUUUCAAAGUUUUGCACAACAUAUUUUAUGUGUGUUUAUAGAAAAAAAGCCCAGACCCAAAUUGAUUGAAAAAAUGUGUUGUUAUUGAAAGGGCUGAGCUGAACUCUCCGCCGAGCGUGGGGCUCGCAAGACUUGGAAGGCGACGAUUUCACAUAAAUAGUUGUGCCGAGUUGUUAUGGCAACUGAAAUUUGAAAAGUAAAUAGGUUCGGGGGAAAUAUUUUUCCUUGUCUCCGGAGGAGUUUUCUGUCCGGGAUCAUUUGCAAGUGGAGGAGGAAAUCCAGGACCCAGUGGGCUUGGUGUAUGCUGUCGAGGGACAGAAAUGGGGCGUCCCCGUGUCGGGGGUCUCCCCGUCCAUGGAGCGGGUUCUGUGCUUUCCCUGAAUAGGGGUUGAGACAGGAUGACGUGGGCUGGCUCUUGCCUGCUGUGUGGCUUUGGGCCAGUGCCCUGCCCUCUCUGGGCCUCUACUUUCCUAGAACAGUUUGCUUGACUCUAAUAAUAAUAAUAAUCAUGCAGUUUCAUAGCUAUUGUUUUGGAGAUGGCACCUCCUUGUGGAUUGGACCCUCACACCAGCCUGCUGAGGUCGCCAUGCUUCUCUCCAUUGGAGAGGUGGGGAAACUGAGGCCGGGGAGAGACUGGAGGCUUCCUGGCGAUCACACAGGAGGGAACGGCAACCUCUGAAACUUGCUUGGGUUCCUGGCAUGGAGCAUGUUUUGGUCGCCACAUUCCUGUGAGCUGUUGCUCAUGUGUGCUGGCGGCCGGUCCUUCUUGGGGACGCCCCGGGGAUCACCGGUCCCAGAGCACAGAGAGGGCGAGGCCCGAGGGGUGGG
ensembl:lncRNA